GCCCCUAUCUCUCUCGAAUCAUCUCCGCGGGAGAACACACAUGUCCAAUCAUAGGUAAAAUAUAUAUGAUUAGGUUUCACUCCUACUAACUUGGAAGAGUCGAUGGCAAUUGAUGCAUUACACCCCACAAAAAUUGCUUUGUCUCCCAAGCUUUUGAUCUCUUUUGCUUCUCCUUUGAU